CACACGCACAAGCCCCGCACAAACUCACCACAGACUGUAAUGAUCUUUCAAACUAUAUUUAAUUCUGGGAUCCGGCUUACAAAAUAAUACCUCAAUUUGGACAGUAACUCACCUUAAAGUGAUAAUAACCGAAAGAACUGCAGAUGCUGGAAAACAGGGGGAUAAAACAGGAAUUUCUGGAGAAAACUCAGCACCUGUGGAGGAUGCUUGUGCAGAUUCGAUCUGCGACCAAUGUUCUCCACGGUUUGACCAAGAACUGUCGCGCAAGGGUGGCGACUCUUCUUCACGGGGGACAGAUAUUGUGUACGCACAGCUGAAUAUGGCGAUGUUAUCCGAACAAACGUCCGGAAAUUCACUUGAUACUCCAGUGAAGACCCACUCGGAGGACCUGAGACAGGCUAGCCUCUAUUUGUCAGCAGACCCAAGAGAGACACGCGGAAGUUGCACUGGGGUCGAGCAAAGGCGCACGGAGUCGGUUGAGCAAGUCUCCUCCAGACAUCCCUCGGGAGAUAUCACGGCAGAGGGCUCGAGUACGUACGCCUCGUUGGGCCAAAUGAGCAAUUAAUCGAACACUUCAGGAACUGGGGAUA